GACGAACGCUGGCGGCGUGCUUAACACAUGCAAGUCGAACGGUAAGGCCCUUCGGGGUACACGAGUGGCGAACGGGUGAGUAACACGUGGGUGAUCUGCCCUGCACUUCGGGAUAAGCCUGGGAAACUGGGUCUAAUACCGGAUAGGACCCUGGGAUGCAUGUCCUGGGGUGGAAAGCUUUUGCGGUGUGGGAUGGGCGCGCGGCCUAUCAGCUUGUUGGUGGGGUGAUGGCCUACCAAGGCGACGACGGGUAGCCGGCCGGGGAGGGUGACCGGCCACACUGGGACUGAGAUACGGCCCAUACUCCUACGGGAGGAAGCAGUGGGGAAUAUUGCACAAUGGGCGAAAGCCUGAUGCAGCGACGCCGCGUGAGGGAUGACGGCCUUCGGGUUGUAAACCUCUUUCAGCACCGACGAAGCGCAAGUGACGGUAGGUGCAGAAGAAGGACCGGACAACUACGUGCCAGCCGCCGCGGUAA
rnacentral:rRNA from 1 species